rnacentral:lncRNA from 1 species
UUAACUAUUAGCAUACAUGUAUGAGAAAUCUAGACUUUGAUAUCUUCCAAAUCAAAGAAAACAAAACAAACAGAAAAGAAGGGAGGGAAAAGGGACCUAGUUCAAACUAACAAAGAAGAUAAAUCUAAGUGGGGAUUUAAAAUACUCCUAACUGUCACUUGCAGGUAGUAAUAGACAUAUGAUACAUAUGCUAAUGAUCACGACUAAAAUUCACACAUUUACAAUGACUCUUCAUACAAAUCAGUAACAACAAACAAAUUGCUAAAAAUUGGGAGUAGGUCCAUGAAUAUAACACGUAGACACAAUCAUAUUGUCAAAUACAAAGUAAACUUAGACGCAUAGUAUUCGGUACUAAUGACUCUCACAUAAAUCCUAUAGUCCACGCAAUGGUUAUCUCGCCUUCAAGUAAAAUAUAUUAAAAGAAGUGGAACUUGGUACAUUCUUUUACAACCAAUGACACAAACUAUAGAGAUAAACAUGAUGUGA